CCUCCACUUACACAUCCACUGAAGGAGGGAGUGUCAGAUAAUUAAUUCUGUUUCUGGGGCUUUUCACACUAAUGAAGAUUAAAGGCUGCACCUUAUGGCGUUAUUACAGUCUUUAAUUCUUAAAUACUGCUCAUAAUGUCUGCUAUCAGCUCAAAUUCAGCUCUUAAAGAACAGAAAGCUCUUGUUAAAAGAGGUAAGAUGACACUUUCAUACACUCAUGUAUUUUCUGUAUAUCCUGCUGCUCUGAGGAUUUGUGCAGCAGAGGAUUCAGCUCAGACGUGACAAUCAGACUUAUCUUAUGCACAGACAGGAGAUUUGAGUGUAAGUCUGCGUGUUGAAGCGUUUGUCUGCAGGAGAGCGGCUCCAGAAGCAGGAUCAGGCUCUGAUAUUUCAUCUAAUCUUUGAAACGCGGCGGACUAGCUCCUAUUAGUAUUCUGCCGCUGCCGGGUUUUGCGAGCAGCUUUUAAGGAGCUUUUGGGGCUGAAAUCUGCCUAUCGUCUUCAGAGGGCUGCCGAGUCUGCAGGAUGUUACAGAGAGUUUGCACUUUAGAGGAUGAAUGCAGAGAGCAGAGUGUAAUAGAGACCGUUAGCCUAAGAAGGUGUGACCUGCAGAGAGGAGAUGAGGUUUAGACGGCUGCAGGUUGAGGUUUAGAGAAGAGAGCGGAUCAGAAGAGAGUGAUGGCUCUGCUGCGCCUGUUAAACACCUUUCUGCCGAGAGGAGAGCUGCUGCAACUUUUCACGAAAAUGCACUGAAACGUGGGGUUUGGGGUUGCAGGCAUGCUUUACAACUUCAGAAACUGAUGUUGAAAAGUUUUUAGAUGAGGUCUAUAGCUUUCAGCACCUUUGUUUUUUAGUGGUAAUAAUUUUGCAACUACCAACUAGUUGACAAAAGUGAACCGUAAGAUAAAAGGUAGAUAAGACCCACACAUAUUGCACAAUUCCUGGUUAAUAUUGUGUAACUAACUACCAGUUCACAUAAGUUCGCCUUAAGUUAAGUGGUUGGUAGGGUACACAAAUAUUCCAUGGUUGCUGGGUAACAAUCAUAUAACUAACAUCUCAUUAACAGAAGUUAUGCUGCGUUCCAGUAACCUCGGAAGUCAGAUGUCCGAGCUGGGAAUGACGUUACACCCGAGUUACCAGUGCUUUAAUUACCAAGUCGAAAGAAAGCCAAAUCGGAGGCGGAAACAAGAUGGCUACAUCUACGAAAGUUAUUUUAGCGCUUACCUUGUCCUUGCUUAUACUGCACAAGGCAAGCGCUUAAAUAACUUUCGUAGAUGUAGCCAUCUUGUUUUCGUCUCCAAUUUGGCUUCUUUCCGAGUUGCGCUGAUAACUUGGGUGUGACGUCAUUUUCAGCUCAGACUUCUGACUUCUGAGGUAACUCGAACACAGCAUAACAUCUCAUUAACAGAAGUUAACCAAAAGAUAACAGGUACAUGACAUGUACAAAUUUUGCAAAGUUACCGGGUAGCAAAUCUGUAUCUAACUAGUUGAUAUAAGUAAAAUAAACAUGGAGAAAGGAUACAUGGAUUUUGCAAAGUUGCUGUGUAAGUAUUCAGUAAACUACAAGUUAACAUGGAUUGAUUAUAUAUUAAUGGGUAGAUGGAGUACAUACUGGCUUCUGGAUUAUAGUUGUGUAACAAACUUCUAGUUAACUUAAAUUAACCAUAGUGCACAGUGGCCAGGUCACAAAUUUAUAACCAACUAUGAUUAAACCGGAAGUAAACUAUAAUAAACAGGCAUAUGAGAUACACAAAUUUUGCAAAGUUAUUGGGUAAAAAAUAAAGUGUAAUUUCUUUUUAACUAUAAUUUUACAGAUUGAGAAGGUAAAUUGUUUAGGAUUACAGGGUACUGAGGUUACAACUACGGGUUAGUAUUUGUUUACAACUGAUUUACAGAUGUAUGAGAUAAGUCACUGGUUAACAAAUGAUGAAUCAGCUUUUAGUUAAACAUUAGUUUAGCACAAGUUAGCCAGUGAAUGAGGCACAUAAAUAAUGUGUAUUUAUAAAGUAUAAAACAUGCUAUACCUGCUUAUUAAUAUUAGUUAAUGGAUAGUUGGGAGUAACUUUUCAACAAAUUCUUUAGAAAAGCUCAUAAUUAGUUUCAUUACCUUAUCGUUUUUAUUGUGUUUACCCCUGGCUGUGCACUACUUUUAGACGGUCAAACUUUAGGACAAUAGUUAGGUGAUGGUUCAGCACUGAAUAACUACUCAUCGUGACUGCCCACUUAACUUUGGGGUAUAUAUAAAAAAGACACUAAUGAUUCCCAGGAAGAAAAAUAACAAAACACAUUGCAGGACAUAUCUGACAGUUACAUCAGGCAUCAUGAUUCCAGCCGAGUUUUCACAGCCUGGUUAGAAAUGACCUAAGGCUUGGUAUCAAUCCAAGGCUGGAUAGUUAGGGACCCCUGGUCUAAUGAGAAUUUCCCUGAAAGACAUUACUGCUGACAGUUUGUGUGCAAAAACAAAAGGUGCUCAUCAUAUAUUAAACUAAAAUAAUUCUAACUUCAAAUUAAAAAAACAGAACUUGAUGAACGUUUACUUUGACAAUAAAUCAGUUUGAUGAGAGAGUCUCUCUGAUCUGAAUCUAUGUGUCUAGUUCAUCCAUCCAUGUGGCUCCAAGUUUUUUGUCACUCACAGCGAUCAUGUUCACUGAAUACAUAAAUAUUAGGACAUGGCUUAAGGCUUCAAAUCAUAAAAUAUCAUUAUUUAAUAUAAUUCACUACAUGACGAGAAACCGAGGUGUAAUCCAGGAAGGACAAACUUUAAAAAAUAAGCAAAAAAUAAGCUUUAGUUUUGCAAUUUCUGUUUUUUGUGAGUUCAAGUCGACUUCAUCGAAGUCCAAACUAAUGCUAAACUAGAAAGUCAGUUCAAAGUCUGCAGAGAGGAUGUUAUUGUAACUGGCAGACAGCUGGAGUACUUAAGAGCUCGCAAGGACAUAAAUCUGUACCGGAUGAUUCACCAAAACAAAAUUAAAAAAAAACUCUGCAUGCCUCAGAAGUCCCAGAAGUACACGCUUGAAAAUGUGACUCACCUGUGGUUUUUUAGAGAGAAACAUGGAAAAAAACAGGUUUAAACCUGCAACUCAGAGUUGACUGAUGAUUGCAGUCAAAUUUUUGGAAAAUAAACUGAAAAAAAAAAAAAAAAAAAAAAAGAGUUCCAAUUUCAGGAAAAUGAAAUGAAAUGUACAAAUUUGCAGCCAACUUUUCCAAAUUCAAUGGUGCAAAUUUUGGCAGAAUUUGAGGAUUUAAGCUCCACAGACACUGUCAGUUUGUGUCAGUUUUUACUCUGUGAAAAACACUGUCCAACUUUCACAUCUGCUGAUUUGUCCUUUGCAUUUGUAUGUUGUGUUUUCUAAUGACAUAUCUCCUCCUGCUGUCUUAAAGGGAUAUUCAGGCAUAAAAUUAAUUAAGGGUGAAACACACCAGAACACUGAGUAAGACACCCCCUGAAUGUUGCAGACCGCUUGCUUCUCUAGUUAUACCAACUUCAGUAACGACCACACAAUAGCAAUACACAGUGGUCUGAGGAAACCUCAUCCUAAAAGCCACUCUAUAGCCACAAAUAAUGUUCAGAACAGCACCUAACUUCAUCAACAGUACAUAUAGGGUCCCAGCCAUAGUACUAGCCGCCAAACAUCUUUUAGCUUUGCCUAAUUUCUUUAACAAAGAGACUAAAUACAACUCACCUACUCUCUUCCAGCAGCCACUUGUUUGUGUACAGACUUCAGCGGGGUGAUGCAGCUCAAGGAAGAACAUUUAUGAUAAUUUUUUAAUCAUUUCCUUAAAGUAAUAAUCACCAUAUUAAUCAUUUUGUACUGCAGACGCAGUACUUCUUCUGCCUUAGCAUCUCGGUCUGAUUGUAUUUCCAUGAAGAAAUAAUGAUAAGUGUUCUUCCUUGAGCUGCGUCACCCCACUGUAGUCUGUAACGGACUGGCCUGAGGUCUUGCUACAAAUAAGCAGCUGAUGGAAGAGAGUGGGUGAGUUGUGUUUAGUCUCUUUGCUAAGGAAAUCAGGCAAAGUUAAAAAGAUGUUUGGUGGCUAGUACUAUGGCUCGCACCCUAUAUGUGCUGUUGAUGAAGUUAGGUGCUGUGGAAAAUGGAGCUGUGUGCUUUUUCAUCAAUGGGUUUGGUUUAGUCCAGUACAAGUCCAAAACAUUUGCGUUUACAUUAUCAAUAGUCAGUAAAGGUGUGUGUGUGACUUUUUGACAUAUACAUAUUUAUGGCUGUUUAAAGUCAUAACCACCACUCCGAAAUGCGCCACUUCAUGCCCAUUUCUCUCUCCACCUUGUGUUUUUCUGGUUUACAGCGUCUCAUUUAUCACAGGUGACAGGGUGGUGUUUUCAUGAGAGCCACUCAAAGUAAAGAUCAGCUUAUUCAGCUAACUAAGAGGAAGAAAACCCCCCUCAUGGCUCUCCUGUUAAUAACCCCUCAGCUGCCUCAGCGUCUCCCCGGCUCUGUGUGAGAGGAGAGGCAAAACCCUGCUCUCUCUGCCUGUAGCCCUCUGUUUGAAGAUUAAUAACUCCUCUUGGAAGAAGAAGUGACAUCAUGAAAUUGCUUUCUAUUGUCCGACUAAUUAACCUUCCUGCUCGGCUCUCUGAAUAGACUCUGAGAUUCCUCUGUGGUGUGACAGCAGCGUUGGAGGACAGGCAGCAGCCUUUCAGCGCAAACCCACAAUCAAGAGCAGUGAGACACCCUUUAGACGGAAACUCCUCGCUGAAAUAAAAGCAAGACAAUACCUUAUAUUUGAUUUAUUCUGCAGGAAACAAUCACAUGCAGAAACUGUGGAUACGCAGAGUGAAUCUGCUGCUUGUAAUUCACAAUGAAGGAAGAGUGGAUUGCUUCGCCGAACAAAGCAUGCUGGGAGAGCAGGAUACAUCCAUGCACCAGAGAAUGGAAACUGUGCAAUUAGGCUCAUUUGCAUGAAAAAGAGCAGGUCUCGCUCUCUGGUGCAUGCAUGUCAUCAGGUUAUUCACAUGAUUGCAUGGUUUCAAUGCACCUGUUCAUGAGGAGAGUGGAGAUGAUGAGGAGGGUGGAGAUGAUCUUUUUUGCUUUCAUUUUUGCAGUCAUUUUCUAAUCAGAUCAGCCUGCAGGUAUGAUUUAAACAUAUUUUAUGGUUUUAAGAGAACCUACAAGGUGGUCUUCAGGUUGUUGAUUUGCCUGUGCUGUUAUUUCCCUCUUCUUGUACUACCUUCUUAAGUGAGAAAUUCAAAGACAAAUACAAGAGUAGAGAAAGUGAGAGGAGAAUGAGAAAUCCAUCUUUCCCCAGUGUCAAUCUGAAGUGAUGUCCAGUAAAAAGAUGAACUGCCCGGCUGUCCCGCCUGUCAAACCCACAGCACUCAUGCUCAGAGGCCCCUCAUUUCAGAUCUAUUUUAAAACUUUCACUUUCUUUCACCUAAACAUGCACAGAUAUCUCAGGUUUAGGAGUUCUCACACAAGUCUCACAUUUUAUUGCAUACAUGUAUCUUUAAUGGUCGCAGUGUUUUAAACUCAAUAGCCUAAAAUGAACAGGGGUUGCAAAUUAGCCAUGGAUAGAAACCUGUAUGUAUGAGAUGGGACUCUAUAAAGAUAAAGCAAUGUGUAAUGCAUUUGUCCCUGUCAGGUUAACCAGUAAAUCAAUUCAGGCUUUGUAUUUUAAGCUUAGUGAAUCAUAACACAGUUACUUUAACUUCUUAAUCUGUCUUUUAAUUAUUAAUCUUAGGAAUCUAAAUUUAUUAAACUGCAGGUAAAUUAUCUGUACCAUGAAACCUCACACAGCUGUUAGAGUUCAUGACUAAUUUCUUGUAAAAAAACAAACAAAUAAUAAAAAAAACCCCACUGUCAUAACACCUUAUACCGUAUUUUUCUGGCGAUAAACCAGAAAUUAUAUGACGCACUGUGAAUUAACGUGUCUUUGAUCACACAUAAGGUGCAUUAUCAUGAUCGGUUUAUUGUUGCUAGCGCGCACUCCGGGCUCCCUUACAUGAAUGCACUUCUAGUUUAGACAUUACAGUCAGGCAGUCUUGUAGACCGCUCAGGGGUCCUGUUACGGGGCCGAUCAGGUAGUGACACGGAGUGGAGCAGCAUCGUUGCUUACCAAAGUCUUACUUACACACGGCAACAGAUUUUUGAGCACAACAAGUAAUCUCGCAUAAGGCGCACUGUCAAUUUUUGAGAAAAUUUAAGGAUUUUAAGUGCGCCCUAUAGUCUGAAAAACAUGGUAAUCAAAUUAAUGUGUCUAUAGUUACAGGGCUGCAUGGUGGUGCUGUGGUUAGUACAGCUGCCUCACUGUUAGAGGGUUCCUGGUUCAAAUCCCUGCCAGGCAAGAGUCUGUCUAUGUCACGUUUGCAUGUUCUCCCAGUGCAUACCUGGAUUCUCUGCAGGUACUUUGGUUUUCUCCCACAGUACAAAUACACACUUGUCAGGUAAACAGGUCACCCUGAGUCCCCAGUGAGUGUGAACGGUUGUUAGUUCGACCAUCGGCUCAGUUCAAAAAAUUUCAAAAUUAACUGUGAAGGUGAACUAGUUUAUUUUAACCUCGGUGAAAUGAAGUGUGACCCAGCUUGCUCCUAGAGUGAACUUUCAAAAUGCGGCACCAAUGUAUCCGUACUCACAGCUCCCCCAGGAGCCUCCUCUUUCCUCUGUCCUGGUCUCCUCUGGAUGCUUUUAAGACUUCCUCAUCACAGGAACCAUUUUGGGGUCAGCCAAAGAGAGAGGACACAAGUGCACAUCAUACAUAAAUAGAGAGAGAAGAGACCUUUACCUCUCUGUCCUUGUCUUAUUGUAUCAUUUCUAUCUCUUGUUAGCAUUGGCCAUCAGAGUAUUUGCAGAGAUUUUAGAAAGUGCAGACUGUAUGUGAUGUAACUUUAAAAAAAGACUUUGCAACAUGAGACAAAUUAUUAAAGCAAACAAUUUUACCUAAGGUUCACCUCACUUAAAGCAAUAUUUCCUCUUUCUUUGAGUCUCGUAAACAAAAUAAUCUUGGCUUUGGAUUUAGAGACACAAUCCACACACUCUUCUAAACCCUGCAGCCGUCUGCAGCUCCAGACCUUCAUUUAAUAUUAAUAGAGGUAUCACCUGUUUAAAUAGAAAUCAAUUCAGAUAAAACGGAGGAAAAAAAGCGAAAACAAAGUUAGAGAGCAGCUCUGUGUAAUGCAGCAGCAGCAGCAGCAACAGCCCCUGACCUCCUCUCCGCAGUAUAGAUCACGUCUCCUCGCCUCGCUGACCUUCACGCUCCGCUCUCCUCAAAAAGAGAUAACAGGCCGCUCAAACUGCAGCGGAGGGCGAAGCACUCCAAAUACCGCUUGCUCCCUCUUUCAAACAACACACUUCAAAGUUAGAGUCUGAACGCUACUCCAAACUAUUAAACAGAGACCACAAUGCUGCAAAAAGCGGAAGGAAAAAAAAAAAACGUGGGAAGCUGUGAUUAUUUAGACUCAUGACAGGUAAAUUUAUCAAAUUUUCUUUUUGUGAAGUCUUGUUAGAUCUCUGUGAGAUGCUGGAAGACUUAUGUGAUACAACAUUUCUGCAGCUGUAGAAAAGUCUGUUCUCUUAAAAAAAACUCAAAUCUUUCUGAGUGUAUUUUUCUCAUUUCCGUUAAAAAUAAUGUGAGCCACAAUGACCUCAAACAUCUGCUUAUAAAUCUUACUUUAAGAAUCCAUGAGCCAAAAAUAAAGAAUUAAUUGAUUGCAAUGAGUAAAAAUUAAUUAGGAAGUAUUGCACCUUGCUUCUUGCAGGUGGUUUUAUAAAUUAUAGUUAAGUCCUUAUUUUGUGCCUUUAAUUAAGAUUUAUAGGUGGAGUUUUGAGGUAUCAACUCAAAUAUAAGAUGUGUUUUUCCUCAUAUCUCUACAAAAACUGGGCUCAUAUUACACACCAGGUUAAGUGAUUAAUAAGUCUUUGCUUACUUACAUUCAAAUCUGUAAAGAAGCAGAUUUUGUGAGUUUUAAGACACUCAUUUUGCAAACUGCUCAGCUCAGGAAGUCUGCAGCUAAACACACAAGAAGCCUUAAAGUUACCAGAAAUGUAGAUAAACCAAUUAAACAUUUCCUCUAUAUUACCUACAGCUCCAGCACUCAAACAAACUUACGUCUGCAAAUUAAAAAAAAAAGCUUCAUUAUCUUGUUUCAGCAUUAAUAUGAGUCCAAUUAACUUAAGCGUGUGGAGUUUAUUUGUCUCAGGAAAGCGUGUUGACAGUAAACUGCUGCCACACACUGCAGUUCUCUUUUUGCCUCUGGGCUAAUUUGCAGAACCUUCAAUGAGCCUAAAAAACUCCACAACAAAUACACAAGAGGCGGUAAAAACACAAAGUGACUGCAGUCUCUAAGUGGCUCGUCUCUUUAAGUAGUUUGUUUUACCAGGAUUAAUUAAAAGUAACACAUCUGAAAACAAAAUAGUGCAAGUUAUGUUAAGAGCGCAAUGGACAAGAAGUUUCAGAGCAGAGUGGAAUGGCAUAACUAACAAUCCCAGAGCCAAUUAAGACACAUUUUCUAUUUUUUGCAUAUCAUUAAAAUCCCAUAUUUGAUUUUUAAUAUAGAGCAAUAACAAUAUAUCGAUAUGCUGUAAUUUGAAAAAGUAAGCUCAGUCUAAAGUUGAUGCCAGCAGCAUGUUUGAAAAAGUUUGGACAGAGUUAAAAACAGUGAGGAAACACACACCAAAGCCCCAGGCAGUAUAUAACAACUUAGAGCUGAAUCCUAAAUAAGUGAGCAAUAACAAAACAAUAACAACAGCAAUUUAAGCUACUUCAAUUUGAAAUGCUAAUGAGGUCAGUUUACAACAGCUUAGCAGCAUGACUGGGACAUUCAGAGAGGCUGAGUCUCUCAGAAGGAAAGAUGGCGAGAAGUUUGCAACUCCGUGAGCAAAUAGUUCAAAUUCUACAAUAUUGUGCCUCAGCAUAAAAUUAAAAACAAAAUUGUGAAUCAGGAAAUCUGGAAAAAUCUGACAAAGCAAACAACCAGUACUGGCUAGCUGUGGCGCUCCCAUAGACUGUAUAUAGAAUGGACACCGUCUGCCUCCUCGCUAGGUGAAGCCACCAUGACAACAGCACCCUCUAGUGGCAGGCUGCAGUAUAGGUCAUAAAUCCCGCCUCCGCCAGCAAAGCUUAUGGAGCUGUGGACAAACUUUAGAAAUUUAUUACACAGAACAUAAAUUUUUCUCCCCCCUGCUUGCGAUGUUGACAUGUAGUUAUUGUAAGACUGGUUUGUGCUCAAGUUCUCUUUUUUCUGUACAGCUCCAUUUUUAAAAGUUAUUGGGGGGGUUCAUGUUUUCUAUGAUUGACACCUGAUACAGCCUAUGGGCGUAUGAGGAUUGCGCAGCUCACCCGGGGGAUACGCUGUUUGAGCCGAGCGUCAUCACAGGGACUCUCCCUCCAAAUGUGUACAACGCUAUUGCGCAAUGUUGGUUUCAGGAAAUGGAGAGAAAACGCAUAAUUACCGAGAGCUUCUGGCUUCAAAUCUGUAUACUGGCGGAAGGCUGAACCAAGUUGUCCAUAGUAUAUACAGCCUAUGGGCGCUGCACUUAAAACAGACGUGACUCUUUGGUGGAAAUCACUAAACAAGCUCAAAAUUACUGUGACAACAAAGUUUGUCACUGCAUUCACAAAUGCAGGUCAGAACUGUACCAAUGCCAUGAACAUAAUCCAGGACUUUUCUGGGCCUGAGCCCAACAAAGACGGACUGAAGUCGUGAAGAGGAAAACUGUUGUGUGAGAUCGCUUACCUAAAUUUGACAUUUAUUUGGGCUGAUCAUGGACGCAUCCUCAGUUCUAAAGAGGAGCAAGACCACCUUGUUUGCUUCACACACACAAUCCCACGUCCCUGUAUUUCAUAUUGAGCAGCAUCAUUGCUGAACUGCCGUACAGUCCAAAAUUGAUUUUAUUUUUGUGUUUUGGCCUGUAAACAUGUUUAAAUCUGCUCUAAAAUCGGACAUAUGAAUAUUGGGGUUGAAUUGCUGUUAGAAACAGGCUCUAGUGGACACCCGAGGAACUGCAAAUUUUGGCACAUCUGCAUCUGCAAGUCUUAAUUUUUCAACACCGUAGUUUGCGGCUUGGUAAAAAUAGGUCCGACUCUUUAAAAGAAGGACUUCCCCUUUGAGAGGAUGAGCCGUGUAAAGAAAAAAAAUCUCCCCUGUAGGUGAGAUUUCACGGAUUAAAGCCUCCGGACUUUUCCUGUUGGCUGCUGAUGUGAUCACAGGAGGAUGCGUUAAAUCCCUCUUUCAUUCUGUUGAUUGUUGAAACCUGAACUACUACAGCUUCUGCUCUCUCCCUCUCUGAAUAUAGAAACAGUGAUCAGCUCACUUGUUCCAGUGUGACGGGUCAGCUCAUAGUACCCGCUGCCUUCUGCACUCUCACUCGACACGCAGCGCUCACAGAUAACUGCCCGCUCGUGUGUCUGUAUCUUACAGAGUGUUUCUAGACUUCACUCGUAUCUGUGUGUGUCAGACUCGGCCCACCUCUUCCCACACACACUCUGCAGGCACACACUCUCAGUUACACUAGAGCGCAGGAUGAGAGGACCACGCACCAGUUUCUAUGCUCCAUGAUUUACGGAGGGCUAAUGACAACGCACUGAUUUACACCCAUUCAGCUGCAGACAUCAGCAGAAAGCAGAGUGCUCAGGCUGAUGAUGAUGAUAAUGAUGAUGAUGAUGAAGCCCAUAUGGAAGUUACUUUCAGCAAGUGUGUAAAACCUGCAGGAACACACUUCAAACACAAAGCCACUAAUCGGUUCCUGCUAAAGCAACCAUGACAGUAUUUGUUCUUUUUUGCCAAGUGCAAUGACAUUUCUUUGACCAUUUCCACAUGCCUCAUAUUCCCAGACUCAGUGCAACUCAAUCAAUAAGUUGACUUUGAAAUAUAAAAAUGUGUUGUUUUUUUUUUUUUUGUGUUAAUUAACCUAAAUCUUAAGUACAUUGUGCAAAGUGCUCAGCAGGCCAGAUCCCGAGAAGUAGAGAGGACAAUUGCGGAACAAGCGUGUGCUUUAGCGGACUGCAAUGCUCUCAAGAAAGCUAAUUAUGAUGUUAGCUUUCGUCUUCCCCCCCCAAAAGACUUACGUGCCUGAGAGCUAAAAUGCUAGGGUGACCAUAUGUCCUCUUUUGCCCGGACAUGUCCUCUUUUUUGGGGUCCUUCAAAUAUCUGUGGUUUUGUACGCAAGUUUCAAGUUUAUGUGGCAUGGAUUUACUGAGUUAGAAGCACAUGGAUUACACUCGAUUCAACCCAAAAAAGUCUCAAGAUUAACUCCGUACAACUCUGUGACUCCGCCCCUGCAUAGUCCCGCCCUCUUUUUGGGAAUAUGGUCAACCUAUGAAAUGUUCCUAUAUUACCUGCCACUUCUGCUGCACUGGCAGUGUUAGGCUGCAGGCUAGCAUGAAGACGAGUGUGCAGAGCAGCGCUGUCUCUGCCCACGAUGCGGAGACGAAUCGCUUAUGAGCUACUGGAGCUCUGCAGAGGAAAAGCUCUUAGAAAUGACACAGGUAAUGUGAUUUUGGCUAAACAGGCAGACCUGUUGUACUUUUUGGUUUCACCUCCUCCAGCUGACAAUGUGAGAAAAAAACUGUUGAUAGCAACAUGGAGGAAACUUAAUUCAUUUGGAGAGUGUGAAACUUAAGACUGGUGGAAAAUGAGGACGAAAGUGUGAAAACAACACAGAAAUGAACGACUGAAAGAGGCAUCCAUCAAAUUGAAGAAAACAUAAAACCAAUCCACAAGCUCUGGGAUGGAUUUAGGAUUGGGCGUAGGAAACAGACAUGAAAAGACAGUGUUGGCCAAACUGGAUUAGCCACACUCCCAGACUGUGAAAAUACUAAAUCCCAACAAAGGAACACAAAGGGAAAAGAGGCGUCACAGUGUUGAUGUGCGGCUUUGAAACAUUAACGCUGAAGCUCUCCUGAGAUUUAUUGUUACCACACUUUCAGGAAGAUAGUGCCGUCAUUAGUUUUUUCUCCUCUGCUGUGUUUGCACCAGCCUUUCACUGAGCAAUAUAAUGAAAACUGUAAUUUGCAGCUUCUAUAUUUAAUGCUUUAAUGGCUCUGUGUUACAGCCUGAGCGUUAUGCAAAGCAGCUCCAGUGACUCCAACAACACAACUCAGCAUUAAACUACAAUGAGACACGAUGGGGAGUGUUGUUCUCCGCUCUCCUGCAGCGCUGUCAUCGAACCUACAGGGAGGUUUCUCCGGAUGAUUCGGAGCCCGGCGCUGCCCUCCGAAGGAAUCCUGUUUUUGUGGACCGCGAGCAUGCAGAGCCGCUGACCCACUUUACUCUGUUUAGUGUUUGCUUUGUUAAAGAUGCUUCACGGGACUUUAAAGCAGAGUUUUCACGCUCAGGAUUAUGGCUGCCUACUGUAAGAGAAAAGGAUUAAUCA